UUGGGUUGUCUGUGCCUGAGAUUAUGGCAACUUGAUUUUCUCAGGUCACAUCUUCCCCAGCAAGAAGAAAGUGACAUUUCCUUGCUGAUUCCAUGCUGAGGGCUGAGGACUGUGACUUGCUGCAUGGCUGUGGGGUGGUUCCCACCAUGCGUGUUGUGAUGGAACAGCAGGGAUCAAUCCUAGGCAGCCCCCGUGGCUUUCCAAACAGAGGGUGAGGCAGAACUGUGGUUGGCAGGACCCUGGGAGCUUGGCCAGAAUGUACUGUUCCCGAAAGCAGAGGGCAGUCAGCUCAGCAGAAUGCUUUUUGAGGGUUUCAGGCAUGCUGUCAAGAUGCGUGUUCGCCACUGAGUGGUGUGUGUGGGCUCCUUUGGCAGCUUUCCUUCUACAAGCUGCUGUUGUUCAGAUUUAACAACGGCAACAACAACCAGCCAUUAUUAAGCGCUUACUCUGUGUAUUGGGAAGCCCUGGUGGCACAGUGGUUAAGCGUUUGGCUGCUAGCCAAAAGGUCGACAGUUCGAAUCCACCAGCUGCUUCUCAAAAAACCUAUGGGACCGUUUUACUCUGUCCUGUAGGGUUGCCAAGAAUCAGAGUCAACUCGAUGGCAUUGGGUUUGGAUUUUUUUUUUUCUGUUUUUGUAUGUGUGUUGGAGCUCUGGUUGUGCAGUAGUUAAGAGCUUGUCUGCUAAACAAAAGUUGGGCAGUUCAAAUCCACCAACCACUCCUUGGAAACAGUAUGGGGCAAUUUUAUUCUGUUCUGUAGGGUUGCUUGGAAGCGAAGAUGGCAAGACAUUCUCACAUACUUUGGAAAUGUUAUCAGGAGGGAUCAGUCCCUGGAGAAGGACAUCAUGCUUGGUAAAGUAGAGGGUCAACAAAGGAGAGGGGGACCCUCAACAAGAUGGAUUGACACAGUGGCUGCAACAAUGGGUUCAAGCAUAACAAUGAUUGUGAGGAUGGUGCACAACCCGGCAGUGUUUUGUUCUGGUGUACAGAGGGUCACUAUGAGUCGGAAUCAACUUGAUGGCAACAGAACACAAAUAUGAUGGCUAGAGUUGGAGCAGCCAUCAUGAACCAUGAGAUGACUUUGGGAAUGGAAGCUGCACAUGCAGAGCCACAGAAUAAAAGGUGCCUGGGUUAAUAGCAAGAUGCCAUCAAGUUGGUUCUGACUCAUAGUGGCCUGAUGUACAACAGAAGGAAACUUUGCCGGUUCCUGCACCAUCUUCAGAAUUGUUGUUAUGCUUGAGCCCAUUGUUGCAGCCACUGUAUCACUCCAUCUUGUUGAGGGUUUUCCUCUUUUUUGCUGACCCUUUACUUUACCAAGCAUGAUGUCCUUCUCCAGGGACUGAUCCCUCCUGACAACACAUCCAAAGUAUAUAAGACACAGUCUCACUAUCCUUGCUUCUAAGAAGCAUUCAGGCUGUACUCCUUCCAAGAAUUUUGGGGGUCAGAAUUUCAAAUACAGAGCAUCAGGGACAGUUUGUCUUUGUUCUGUGAUGUCUGAGGUCUUAGCUGGAGGACUUGAAGCCCAGGGGGUGACUCAGCGGCUGGGAACUGGAACCACCUGAAGGCUCAUUUACUCACACUUCUCGCUGUUGAUGCUGGCUGUCUUCUGGACCUCAGCUGAAGCUGUCAGCCAGAGCACCCACAUGUGGCUUCUUGGUGUGGCCUCUUCACGAAACUCCAAGGGAGACCUGGGUUCAACUCCCGGUUGAUGCACCUCAAGGGUAGCCACCACCCACCUGUCAGUGGAGGCUUGCAUGUUGCCGUGAUGCUGGACGGAUUUCAGCGGAGCUCCCAGACUAAGACUGACUAAGAAGAAAGGCCUGGAGAUCUAUUUCUGACCCAGCCAAUGAAAACCCUAUAGAUCUACGACCUGUGGGGCUGGCGCGGGACCAGGCAGUGUUUCCUUCCGUUGCCCGUGUGGUUGCCGUGAGAUGCAGCUCGCUCGACAGCAGCUAACAGCAACAACAUGUGAUCUUAGUGCCCGUUCCUGAUUAACAGCAGAAAAGAAGCUAAGCCAGCAGGUGGGUGUCCCACCGACGAGACUCACCAUGGGCGACAAGGGCGUGUCCAGGCUCGUCUCCGUCUUACUGUCGUCAGCAUCACUGUCCUUGUCACUACUGCUGUCGUUGACAAAGCAGAUCUGCAGGUUCAUUCCGCUCUGUAGGCUGGGCAGAGACAAGAGGACGCUCACCCCACCCGGCCAUUUGUUAUCUGCCUGGAGAGCUGUGGGCUUUUGUAAUAUAACGUAGUUGAUGUAUUCUUGGCAUGGGGGAGUGAGGGACUGAUAUUACUUCCAACAUAUAAACGACAACUUUUUUUUUCUUUUUUGCUCUUUAGGUGGAAGUUUACAAUGCAAGUCAGUUUCUCAUACAAAAACUUAUACACACAUUGUUAUCUGACCCUAGUUGCUCACCCCAUAAUGUGACAGCACACUCCUCCUCUCCACCCUGUAUUUCCCGUGUCCAUUCAACCAGCUCCUGCCCCCUCUGCCUUCUCAUCUCACCUCCAGACAGAAGCUGCCCACUUAGUCUCAUGUGUCUACUUGAGCUAAGAAGCACACUCCUCACCAGUAUCACUUUAUAUCUCAUAGUGCAGUCUAAUCUUUGUCUGAAGAGUUGGCGUCAGGAAUGGUUUUAGUUUUGGCCUAAAAGAGAGUCCGGGGACCAUGUCUUCUGGGGUCCCUCCAGUCUCAGUCAGACCAUUAAGUCUAGUCUUUUUACUAGAAUUUGAUUUCUGCACCCCACUUUUCUCCUGCUCCAUCAGGGACUCUCUGUUAUGUGCCCUGUCAGGGGAGUGAGUGGUGGUACCCGGGUACCACCCAGUUCUUCAGGCUGAUGGGGUCUCUGGUUUGUGUGGUACUGUCUCUUGGACUCAUAUUUUCCUUGUGUCUUUGGUGGUAAAUGACAACUUUCAUUAGAUCUCCUAAUAUCCCAUUGGAACUCUGGUGGCACAGUGUUUACGAGUUUGGCUGCUAACCAAAAGGUCAGCAGUUGGGAUCCACCAGCUGCUCCUUAGAAACCCUAGGGGGCGGGUGUACUCUGUCCUACAGGGUCACUAUGAGUCAGGAUUGACUCAACGGCAACUGGCUUGAUUUUAGUUUUAAUAUUCUAUUAAGGAACCCUGGUGGCGCAGUAGUUACAUAAGCCCUCGGCUGCUAACUGAAAGGUCGGCAGUUCAAACCCACCAUCCACUUCAUGUCAGUCUGUUUUCAUAAUGAUUAUAGCCUCAGAAACCCUACAGGGCAGUUCUGUUCUGUCCUAUAGGGUCACUAUGGGUUGGAAUCGACUCAACGGCAUACAACAACAACAAUAUCCUAUCAGUUUUUUCUAAACUAACGUUAAGUGAAAAAUAAUUUAAGGCCAUGUAUUAUAGCAAAAAAAAAAAAUUUUUUUUUUUUUAUUUUUUAUUAUAGCACUCAGCACAAUGCCAAGCACACAGUUGGCACACAAUGAAGAUGUGCUGAGUCACUGAGUUUGUAUCCUUUCAGUGUAGAUAAAUGGGGUCCUUGGCCACAUGAGGCUGCCUGGCUGCCAUCCAGAGCUUUGUCCUGGGGGACAACCCAAGGCCUCUCACUAAAGCCAGCGCCUCAGGGCUACUGUUCUCUUUAAAAAGACUCCCCCAAAUAGGUAGAAUAGGAUCACAUGAAGGAAACCUUUAUUUAGGGCAUUUGACAAAAGGGAACAUAGGGAGCUCAUUUAUGACAUUACAACAGGUUUACGCUAGAGAAACAUAACGACACCUUAAACGCAGAAGGCACGACCUUAAAACAAGAUCCUAAAGCUGUCUGGAGCACACAGGCCAUUAGCGCCAUCUGAGACCUCCUGGGAGCCCAUUAUGCUUGUGGCAAACCCUGAACCUCCGGGAGUUGUGUGCUGGGACCGGGAGUGGUGUGCUGGGAGCAUGGUCGCAGCAGGUAACCCAGCCGGGCAUCUGUUACACAUACUACCGGCCUGCAGGUCCGACCCUUGGUCUCAACCUUCUUUCCAAGCUGGACACGUCAGCACUGCUCGUCCAUAAAGAGUUUUUUAAACAGUAAUUUUCCUAGUGUCUGUAAUGACCCAAACCCCUUGUCAGUUUAAAGAGAGAAAAGACAAAGGAGGCUCCUUCUGGGCAACCCGAGAUCACAAGGAGGCUUAGCCCGGUCCGGGACAGCGGACACCGGACUUGCCUGGCCCUCUACAGGGUUGCUAUGAGUUGGAAUCGACUUGCCGGCGGUGGGUUUUUGGUUUUAUUAUUACUGCCACGGGGAGAAAUGUGAAGAGCAACUUGUCUGAUAUUUGACAUUUGCAUUUGAUUUUUUUUUUUUUUAUUCUAGUGGGUAGGGAUGCUUUGUAAAAAUUCCACAGAUGACUCACUUAAUGUGCUUCCUUGAUAGAAAACAACGCAGAACCUAGAAAAUCUACUUAUUAAACACGGGCAUCACUCGGCGUUGUUGUGGGUAUGUGCUGCCACCUAUUGUUACGUUUGGUAAUGACUGAAGGUCCCAGAUUUCUCUCCUCUGGGCAGAACCGGGUUUGGCUUGGUUUAAGGGAAUUCAGGAAACCCUGGUGGCCUAGUGGUUAAGUGUUCCGGCUGCUAACCAAAAGGUCAGCAGUUCAAAUCCACCAGGCGCUCCUUGGAAACUCUAUGCGGCGGUUCUGCUCUGUCCUAUAGGGUCACUAUGAGUCGGAAGCAACUCAACGGCAUUAAAGCGAGCCAGGCCCAGAGCUGGGGGUGAGUCAGAAUCAACUCGACGGCAUUAAAGCGAGCCAGGCCCAGAGCUGGGGGUGAGUCGGAAUCAACUCGACGGCAUUAAAGCGAGCCAGGCCCAGAGCUGGGGGGAGUGAAAAACCACACUGCUGCCUGGAGCUAUUGACAGGGAGUGCCAACGGUCUGCAGAGAGGGUGCUCUGGACAGAGACAGCUCAGGAAACACGGAGAGAUAAAGAUAACCUUUGUAACGAGACUCCGGAGCUUCUUCCAUCAAGAGGUUGAGUCUAUUUCCCUACGGGGAGCCCUGGUGGUAGAGUGGUUAGCAGCUUGGCUAACCACUCCUUGGAAUCCACCAACCGCUCCUUGGAAACCCUAUGAGGCAGUUCUACUCUGUCCUAUAGCGUGGCUAUGAGUUGGAAUUGACUCGAUGGCAGCAGGCCUGAGCACUGGCCUUGCGGCUUGUUCUGGCCAAUAGAGCGCACAGGAAAUGACCAGUUCCAGUUGCUCCCCAAGAGGCCUUCUCCACUUCCCCUCCCCUGGGAACCCUGCCACUGCCCUGACAAGUCCAGGCUAGCCUGCAGGAUGAGGGACAUCGCAGUGACAACGCAGCUGGCAACUGUCCCAACUGAAGCCCCCGACACGUGAGAGAGCCCAGUCAAGAGCAGGAAAGGCAGCUGGCCGACCGGAGGCUGACCGCUGCAUCGCGAGCAAGCCCCUCCGAGCCAGCCGACCUCCAGGAGACCUCCCAAGCAGAAAGACGUUAACUGUUGUAUGUAUGUCACUGGUGCGGGUGGCUCUUUUACGCAUCAUCACUGUGACCACAGACAUUGUUGGCUGCUGUGGAGUGCGACCCAUGGCGACCCCAUGCACCGUGGGAGGAAAUGCUGCCCCAUCUUGCAUCAUUCCCGUGACUGGUUGCUGACCAGACCAUGUGAUCCACAGAUUUUCAUUGGCUGAUUUUCAGAAGUAGAUUGCCAGGCCUUUCUUCCUAGUAUGCCUUAGACUGGAAGCUCUGCUGGAACCUGUUCAGCAUCAUAGCAACACGUGAGCUCCACUGACAGCUGGGUGGUGGUUGUGCGUGAGGCACCCUGGCUGGGAACCGAACCUGGGUCUCCCACAUGGUGGGCAAGAAUUCUACCACUGAUCUACCACUGCUCUGGUGGCCACAGAUAACCGGUACAAAGUCACAAAACAAGAGAAUAGAGGCUGGACUCCUGACUCUCAGUCCAGUGACCUUUUCCCCCACACCACAUAUAACCUCAGGUUUGGAUUAGAUCCCGUCUGGCAAUAAGGAGCCCUGCUGGUGCAGUGGUUAAAGUGCUUGGCUGCUAACAGAAAGGCUGAGGUUUGAAUCCACCAGCCGCUCAGUGGGAGAAGAUGUGGCAACCUGCUUCUGUAAGGAUGUAUGGUCUUGGAGACCCUAUGGGGCAGUUCUACUCUGUCCUACAGCAUCAAUCGCUGUGAGCAGACUGGCAGUGGGUUUUGGUUUGAUCUGGCUAUAAUUUUAAAGGGCAUAUAUGUCCUGUACUUGCUUAUAAUUUUGAGGCAAUUAUACGGUUUUCCUUAGGCAACGGCGAGAGGAAACUUCCCACACGCCUAUGGUUUGCAAACACGGUUGCCCGUUAUCUGCCUCCAGCCAGUGAGCCCGAGAGCCACUGGGCUCCACUCAAUAUCCCCAACUGGUCUCUGGCCUGGCCGUUAAAAUAUAUUAUUUCCAUUUAUUUUAAUGGAUCUUUGAUGCAUUAUUCAAAGGCUUUAUACAUAAUGAAUAAUCACUCACAUUUUUAUACCAUAUCUUUUUCUGUUUCAUGAGAAUUUCAGAGAGGAUGGAGCAUAAAAUAUGAAUUGUAACUACCCAAGGGAUGCCAUAAACACAUUUCAUUUUUCUGAGGAUUUGUCCUGAAGAGGGAAUGUGGAAACAGCUGAGGUUUGGGUAAAGUUUAGCUGUUCCACAGGUGGAUAUUACUUCUCUUUACUGAAGGUGUAGAGGUACUGUCACUCCUGGAUAAAUUGUAAAAUACCUUUCCCUCCCACCUCCAAAUCCUGAAACUCUGUUCCUUCCCUCCUGACUGGUCCAUACUGACACACUUACCAAGAGAUUACAGAAAAUACCUACCACUACUAAAAAUAAAAAAGAAAGGAAAAGCAAAGCUUCUGUUUCCCACCGUCUGUUAUUGUGAAAAUACAAUGCUGUAUCUUAUUUCUAGAGGGAUCGUGCUAAUUUGCUUUUGGCAAGAAGUAUGCACACCUGGGGACAAUAAUUUAUAUGACUUCUUUUAAAGAGUGGUAUUUAUAUAACCACUGCUAAUACUGCUGGUCAGCACGUAUCAUCAAACCGCAAAGAUAAUAUAAAUGACUGAUAACUAUGUGAGGGAGAGAAAAGGGAUGUUUAAACUUCUGUCUCCUUUGCCGAGAUGGGAAAGGAGAAUUACUACCAUUAAGUCCCAAGUUAUAAACUGGCAGUGUGUGGCUAGAUGCAAAUGACAGACCUGUUUUAUUUGACUUGCACUAUCGUUUAAAAAACCUGGAAAUGCAAAUGUUAAAAACAAAAAAAUUUGCAUAAAAAUCUAGAUAAUUAUCUUUCCUUUGUUUUUAAAUUAGAUGACCAUGCAACAGCGGUUCUACAAACCCUAAGGUACCAGCAAGCUAGCGCUGCUGUCCCCCUUGACCAGGGCACCAGUGCACACACUUUCUAGUUUGCUAUAGUCCUCACUAUUCCCUAUUGCCUUUUAUCUGAGCAAUUUCACCCACUCAUGUUGCCUGCUGGCCACUGAAGGCGUUUUUUAGUUCAUGAUACAAUUCAUUAGUGAUGAAUAGUUAGUAGCUGAACCAGGAAGAGAAACCAGGUCUUUUAACAGGUGCCUUGCCCUCAGAUUCAAUCAAAACACACAAACUAAAGUUCGGGGUUUGGAGAAUUGGAUGGGAACUCAAAAAACACUCAGUAAACACUACUCAUCUUGUACAUGAGGAAAAAACAAAAACAAACCUUUACUAACUGGGCAUUAGUAAAGUAAGGUUUUAACCAAAAGAGAGAGUGAGCAAGGAACUGUCCUAGAAAGGGGGUCUUGGUGAAUUGGAGGGUGGGGGAUAAAUGCAGGAGAGAGAUGGGAAAGUUAUAUGCCCGGAGAAGUUGAGGGUAGUUUCAAGCUACCCUCAUGGGGGGACAUUAUGUCUCCUCACGUCCUUUCCUGACCCCACAUCUUCCGGGGCUCAGGGGUUUGCCUUUUCCAGCAGAAGCUGAGGAAGCCAGCUCCAAAGGCAGCUGAGUGCGAAUGUCCUUCCCUGCGUUUUCCCCUCUCCUAAUCCAUAUCUUUUUCUGCUUCCUUUUCUCUCUUUCUCUCUCCCUUCCUUCAUGCCUCCCUCCUCCCUCCCUCCCUCCCUUCCUUUCUCUCUUUUUUAAUUGUGGUAAGUAUAUAUAUCACAAAACAUUUGCAUUUCAACAUUUUUCACACAUAAAAUUCAGUGAACAUUAAUUACGUUGAUCAUGCUGUGCAACCAUCACCACCACCUGUUUCCAAACUCUCCCAUCACCCUGAACAGAAGCUCAGUCCCUCUGAGCAAUGAGCCCCCUUCCCUGUCCCUUCCACCCCUGGUAACCACUAAAAAGCUUUGGUCUCUAUACAUUCCUGCUUCAUUUUCUAAGGCUAAUUCUGGACUCUUCCAUCUGUACAUGUUCCCAUGAUGGCUGGUAGGACACAACACCACAUGGGCCACAGAAUCUUCUCACUG